rnacentral:rRNA from 1 species
CAGCAGCCGCGGGAAUACGUAGGUGGCAAGCGUUGUCCGGAAUUAUUGGGCGUAAAGGGCUCGCAGGCGGUUUCUUAAGUCUGAUGUGAAAGCCCCCGGCUCAACCGGGGAGGGUCAUUGGAAACUGGGAAACUUGAGUGCAGAAGAGGAGAGUGGAAUUCCGCGUGUAGCGGUGAAAUGCGUAGAGAUGUGGAGGAACACCAGUGGCGAAGGCGACUCUCUGGUCUGUAACUGACGCUGAGGAGCGAAAGCGUGGGGAGCGAACAGGAUUAGAUACCCCCGUAGUCCCUGUCUCUUAUAC